rnacentral:rRNA from 1 species
UACAGGGGGUGCAAACGUUGCUCGGAAUUAUUGGGCGUAAAGCGCGCGUAGGCGGCUACUUAAGUCGGAUGUGAAAGCCCUUGGCUCAACUGAGGAAGUGCACCCGGAACUGAGUGGCUUGAGUACUAAAGAGGGUCGCGGAAUUCCCGGUGUAGAGGUGAAAUUCGUAGAUAUCGGGAGGAACACCGGUGGCGAAGGCGGCGACCUGGGUAGAUACUGACGCUGAGGCGCGAAAGCGUGGGGAGCAAACAGG